CCCCAGACUCCUACGGGAGGCAGCAGUGGGGAAUAUUGCACAAUGGGGGAAACCCUGAUGCAGCGACGCCGCGUGGAGGAAGAAGGUCUUCGGAUUGUAAACUCCUGUCCUUGGGGACGAUAAUGACGGUACCCAAGGAGGAAGCACCGGCUAACUACGUGCCAGCAGCCGCGGUAAAACGUAGGGUGCAAGCGUUGUCCGGAAUCAUUGGGCGUAAAGAGUUCGUAGGCGGUACGUAAAGUCUGGUGUUAAAGGCAGAGGCUCAACUUCUGUACGGCGCUGGAUACUUGCGAGGUAGAAUGCGGUAGAGGUAAAGGGAAUUCCUGGUGUAGCGGUGAAAUG
rnacentral:rRNA from 1 species